rnacentral:rRNA from 1 species
AUUGAACGCUGGCGGCAUGCCUUACACAUGCAAGUCGAACGGUAGCAGGUUAAGCUGACGAGCGGCGAACGGGUGAGUAAUAUAUCGGAACGUGCCCAGUCGUGGGGGAUAACGUAGCGAAAGCUACGCUAAUACCGCAUACGAUCUACGGAUGAAAGCGGGGGAUCGCAAGACCUCGCGCGAUUGGAGCGGCCGAUAUCAGAUUAGGUUGUUGGUGAGGUAAAGGCUCACCAAGCCUGCGAUCUGUAGCUGGUCUGAGAGGACGACCAGCCACACUGGACCUGAGGCACGGUCCAGACUCCUACGGGAGGCAGCAGUGGGGAAUUUUGGACAAUGGACGCAAGUCUGAUCCAGCAAUGCCGCGUGCAGGACGAAGGCCUUCGGGUUGUAAACUGCUUUUGUACGGAACGAAACGGCGAGCUCUAAUACAGUUUGCUAAUGACGGUACCGUAAGAAUAAGCACCGGCUAACUACGUGCCAGCAGCCGCGGUAA